UACAGAGGUCCCAAGCGUUGUUCGGAUUCACUGGGCGUAGAGGGUGCGUAGGUGGUGAGGUAAGUUUGAUGUGAAAUCUCCGGGCUUAACCCGGAAAUGGCAUUGAAUACUAUCUUGCUAGAGGAGUGGAGGGGGGACUGGAAUACUUGGUGUAGCAGUGAAAUGCGUAGAUAUCAAGUGGAACACCAGUGGCGAAGGCGAGUCCCUGGACACUUCCUGACACUGAGGCACGAAAGCUAGGGGAGCAAACAGG
rnacentral:rRNA from 1 species